GGGUCAGUAGGUCGGUCGUGCCACCGGUACGUACUGGUCUCACUGAUUCCUCCUUCCUGAAGAACCGUAAUGCCAUUAAUUUGGUGUUGCGGGGAAACAGGACUGUUACUUUGAAGAAAUUAGAGUGUUUGAAGCAAGCUAACGCUUGAAUACAUUAGCAUGGAAUAAUGAAAUAGGACGAUCGAUCCUAUUUUGUUGGUUUCUAGGAUUGACGUA
rnacentral:rRNA from 1 species